rnacentral:rRNA from 1 species
UACGUAGGGUGCAAGCGUUAAUCGGAAUUACUGGGCGUAAAGCGUGCGCAGGCGGUUGUGCAAGACCGAUGUGAAAUCCCCGGGCUUAACCUGGGAAUGGCAUUGGUGACUGCACGGCUAGAGUAUGGCAGAGGGGGGUAGAAUUCCACGUGUAGCAGUGAAAUGCGUAGAGAUGUGGAGGAAUACCGAUGGCGAAGGCAGCCCCCUGGGCCAAUACUGACGCUCAUGCACGAAAGCGUGGGGAGCAAACAGG